UUGAAUUCAUACUUUGGCAGAAAGCCUAUUUUUACAAUUCCCAAUUUAUAAUAAGGAAAAUUACUAAGAAAUAUUUCCUCCACUAGCUCAAGCUAGCAGCAACAAUAGCUGAUACCAGAAAAUAAGAGUCUAAUCCCCCCUUAUAAAGAAAACAAAUUAUUCAUAUAAAAGUGGCAGCUUCCUCAGCUCAAAUGGCCACCCAAGAAUUGCUCUAACAGCUUAACCUCCUCCUUCGACUUUUUUAUAGCUGGUAUUUCUGGAUUCUUCAUUCAGAUACCUCAUACCUUUUGCCCUUCCAGUUUCUUCUGUAGUAAACUCUCAAAGGCAGAGGUUCUCAGCCCAAACUUGUACGAGUCUUUAAUGGGCUUUUGCUAUCAAAAACUAUGGUGUAGGCAUAGGAACAAAUGGGAGUAGUCAAAAUUGUAAUCUGAACCCAACAAGAAAAUAAGGUCAAAAUCCAACACUUUCCACUCUAAAUUGAAAUUUCUGAAAGCAGGUAUAGUCUGAAAAUUCUGAAUUCGGGUAGGUUGUAGCAGAGUUAAGAGCAAUUAUCAAUAAUGAGAUGGGAAGAUAAACUGAAUUUGGAUUUCAAUGGCAAUUUCCCUUCUGAAAAAGGCUACACAGCACAAGAAAACAGAAACACUCUAGCUCAAGCUAGCCUAGCAAUGGCUGUCUAAAAGAGAAAAUCGCAACUUACGCUCCUCUACAACUAAUAAUUAUUUAUAAAACAAUAAAGAUUCUUUCUUUAGGUACUAUCCGAGAAUCUCUCAAACCUGAUAACCACCUAUUUUGUCCAUUUCUAGCCUGGCAAGUCUAGAAUCUUCAUUUGAGACUCAUGUUACCCUUUCCUUUAACAUUUCUUCUGUAGUAAACUCUCAAGGGUUUCAGCCCAUGGUUUACGCUUCCUGGAUCACUAGAUGAGCUGCUGGAUCACUAGAUGGGCUGCUGCUAUCAAUGUUUCCUUUCUGAAGGACAACCUUGUCCUCAAGGCUGAAGGCUGGAAAUUGAUUUACAAAAUUAUAGUAGUUCAUCCAGGUGGCUUCUUCAAUGGGCUUAUUUUUCCAUUUAACCAACUGAUCCAUUUUGCAUCCCUCCUUCACAUCUGAAUUCUUUUGCAAGAUUGCCUCUGGUUCAACUGGAAGCUCAUCAACUGACAAGUCUUUGGGUAGUUCUUUGGUGAUGGGGUGAGAGCCGACCACUUUCUUCAAUUGUGAUGCAUGAAAAAUAGGGUGUAGUCUUGCUUAUUCGGGCAAUUGCAGACGAUAUGCCACCUUUCCCACUUUUUGGAUAAUUUUAAAUGACCUAAAGUAACGAGCUGCCAAUUUAGUAUGAAUUACCCCUUUCGUAGAUGUUUGUCGAUGAUGUUUGAUUUUCAAAAAUACCAAAUCACCUUCUUGGAAUUCCAGUUCUUUGCGCUUUUUAUUUGCAGCUCUGACCAUCCGUUGUUGAGCACGUUUGAGAUUGUAAGAUAGUUGCUUAAUAACUCAUCUCUAGUGCUUAGCUCUUGUGCUACUACUUCGGCCUUUGUCUGUCCUGGUAAGAACUGGUGUAGUGUUGGUGGUGCUCUCGCAUAAAUUGCUUCAAAUGGAGUCAUUCCAGCAGUUGUAUGAUGGCUUGUAUUGUACCAGAAUUCUGCCUAGCAUAGCCACUUUUGCCACUGCUACGGUUGCUCAGAUGAAAAACACCUUAGAUAGGUUUCCAACCCACGAUUCAAAACUUCUGCCUGUCCAUUCGCUUCAUGGGAUAAGCAGUGCUCAUCCUUAAUUGGGUGCCUUGAAGACGAAAAAGCGCAGUCCAAAAAUGGUUCAUGAAAACAGGGUCAUGAUUAUUUACAAUUGUUCGUGGCAUACCAUGUAGUCGGACAAUUUCUUUCAUAAAUUUCUCGGCUACUAUUUUCGCCGAAUAAGGAUGUUUUAAUGCAAUAGAAUGUGCAUAGUUUGUAUACCUGUCAACUACCACUAAAACUGCAUUAACCCCUGUGAAGUAGGCAACCUAGCAAUGAAGUCCAUUGCUAUGUCUUCCCAAACUCUUGUUGGUAUUAGAAGAGGUAAUAAAUCGGCAGGGAAAGUGUUUCAUAUUUGUGUGUCUAGCAUGCAAGGAAUUCAUAUACAAAUUUCUGCACCAUCUUCAUCAUUCUUGGCCAAAAGAGAUUGGAUGCCAGUCUCUUAUAAGUUUGGAAUGCACCCGAGUGCCCCCCGCUGGUGUUGAAUGAAAUUCGGCCAAGAGUUUGGGAAUGCUGAAAGAAUUUGAUGGCAGAACAAUCCUUCCUCUAUAAAACAGUUUGUCUUGCACCAAUGUAUAUGCUCCAUGAGAGUUUCCCUCUUUUUUCAGCUUCUGAAUUAUACCUUGUAGAAAAGAAUCGUUUGUUAUCUCCUUUUCAAUUAUAUCCCAGUCUAGCCAGUUUGAGCAAGUGAGGCUUGCAAUUCGGCUUUCUCUUCAAUUCUUGAUAGGACAUCAGCUGCAAAAUUAGAGGACCUGGGCUUGUACAGGAUUUUAAAAUCAUAACCCAAUAGUUUUGCUCCCCAACAUUGUUGUGUAGGUGUGUUAAUCUGUUGUUCCAGCAAGUGUCUCAAACUACUCUGAUCAAUGUGCACCAAGAAUUUCUGCCCUAAUAGAUAAGGUCUCCCGUGUCUAAUUGCAAGGACAAGAGCCAUCAUUUCACGCUCAUAAGUAGAUUUAGACAAAUUUUUGUGAGACAGACCUUUACUAAAAUAGGCAAUUGGUCUUUGUUCCUGCAUCAACACAGCUCCCCCAGUCCUGUUCUUGACGCAUCACAUUCAACCACAAAUGUUUUAUUAAAGUCAGGUGUGGCAAGAACAUGAAUGGCCACCAGAGCUUGUUUAAGAGUUUGAAAUGCCUCCUGUACUUUUGUGUUCACUGAAGUCUCCCUUUGUGUUCUUUUUUUAACAAGUGAUUCGAUGGCUGUGCAAUGCUUCCAUACCCUUUGAUGAAUCUACGGUUCCAUGCAUGGUUUCAAAUCGCGGUCGCGGCCGCGUUCGCGGUCAUGGUCGCGGGUAACGGAAACAGGCCUGUAACGGUCAUAACGUAACGGUAACGGCCUGUCGCGGCGCAAAAUUUUUUAGAAAAUUUGUAAAGUCCAUGAAAUUAAAAUAUAUUGAAAGAUAUAAUGAAAAUUAAGUUAUACAACUUAUAAACAAAUACAAAUAUCCUAAAUAAACAUAAAAUACAUAAAUUUUAAACAUUAUAUGUAGUAACUUACCUCAAUUACCACCAGAAUGAGCGUCUAGCAGGUUCUUGAGUAGAUCCACCACCUUCAUCUUGUGAUUGAGAGCUUUGAUCUUGAUGAUAUUGAUAGUAUUGUGAUGGAUCAAAGCUGAAAAAUGAACCCAUACCAAAUUGAUCACUAGGAUUGGACUGGGUUUGAGUGUGGGAGAAUGAUUGCUCUGACAAAGAUAAAUCAGAAUACGAUGGAGGAGGCUGAUAUGGAUAUGGAUUUGAGUAUUCCCAUUGAAAAUUUCCUCUAUAUCCAUAAUCACUAGUAGAGGUUGCUUCCAUUGAAGAUUCACUUGUACCAUAAGUUCCAUAUCCAUAAUUAUCUGUAUCCAUAGAACACUCUCCAUGUGCAACACCUUUUCCCUUAUCACUGCUACCAUCAGAACCACGGGAUCUGUGAUAUGUAUGUUGCAAAGUUGGAGCUGGAGAUGGAGAUGGAGAUGGACUAUGCCUCUGAUAUGAAGAGGGAUCAUCAUGUGAUUGUAAUGAACUAGUAGCUCCAUGACCUUCACCUCUUCCACCCUGACCACUACCACCAUCAUCAUCAUCACUGGAACUAGAUAGUAUAAAAGAAUCUUCAGGUUCAGCAUCACCACUGCCUCCAAUAUUAUGUCCAUGACUUGGAGCAUUAACUUGUUGUGUUGUGAUUGGCUCAUCCUCCUCUAGCCAAGGAUUUUCCUCACCAUCAAGCACAGGAUUUUCCCUUUCCUCCAACCAAGGAUUUAGUGGAUCAUCUUCCUCGAAAAUGUAAUCCAAAUUAAUUGGAUUAUAACUCUUUUCUAGCUCAUGCUGACUCUUUCUGCUCAAAUUCCUCAACUUCAGCCGCAUAUUGUAGUGAACAAAGACGAGUGCAUGCAAUUUUUGAUACCGUAAUCUAUUCCUCGUCUUUGUAUGUAUAAGUGAAAAAGUGCUCUAAUUUCUUUCACAAUUAGAUGCAGAAGUGGUUUGGCUCAACACUCUUACUGCAAUUCUUUGUAGUUCAGGAGCACUUUCACCAUAAUGUAUCCACCAUUCAGCUGCAUUAAAACAUAAUAAUUUUAAUAAUAUAGAUUAUUUUCUCAAAUAUUUGAUUUUAUAUUUUAGAACACUAAAAAUAUAACAUAAUGUGUAAAUCUUAUAUUUUUACCUGGAUCAGUAAAUUUAAUGGCUUUUUGUGCUAAGGCGGACCCAAAACUCUCCAUUUUAUGCUUAUAGAGUUGUGUCUACACCAAUAAAAAAAAUUAUUUGUUUUAUUAUAGUACUAAAAUUAUUUAUUAAAAUUAUUCAAAUUAGGUAUAUAUUAUAUACUUGGUUCAAUGCAUGGCCUUGAUUUACCAAAUCACUCACUAGCCUUUGAAUAACAUUUUUAAGACCCGCCAUAAUUUCACUAUCAUUUCCAAUAUCGUGUGGACCAUACUGAUAUUGAGGGUUCAAAAAAUAUCCUGCAAAUCAUAAAAAUAUUAUUAAAAUUUAUAAGAUAUAGAAAUUAUUAAAGUAUUAAAUAUUAAGUUUAUGUGCUUCUUACCAGUCGCAUGCAAAUCAUGAUGUAAUUGAAAAUUUCAACGAGCAUCAAUAAUUUUCCAUUAGUCUAUGUAACUUCUGGAAUUUUGCUUAAUGGCCAUUUUGCUCGUUUAAUUGCUUCAUAUAUAAAUCCCAUUGUUGGUUUUUCGUCACCAUCCACUAAUCUCAACACUUUAAGCAAUGGCUCUUGGAUUUUCAUAAUGUGCUCGGCUUUCUCCCAAAAAUUUCUUCCCUCUCUAUCCAAGCUAAGAACAAUUUUCUUAGUUUCAUAAGCUGGUCCACUGGUAGCCUGGCCAUAUUUACUUCCUAUCCAUUGCUCGGAUUCAAACAUAUUUCUUAACCCCGUUCUACAUCGAAGAAGACUCUCCAAUGCAAUAAAAUUAGUUGCAAAUCUAGUAAUCCCGGGGCGAAUUAUAUCUCGACCAUCAGUGAAUUUCUUCAUGUAAUUUACCACCCAAUUAUGAUUGUAAAUAAAUUGGGUGAUAAUUUUUCCUUGCUCAAUGACAGUCUUUAUAUUCUUCCUCUUUCCAAAAUCUUCUAAAAUUAAAUCAAUGCAAUGUGCACUGCAUGCUGUCCAAUACAAAUUUGGAAACUUCUCCAUCAACUUUUUGCCACCAAAUUUAAUAGCAGCUUCAUUAUCAGUCACCACUUGGACAAUUUUGCUUGGGCCAAUUUCUUCAACCACUUCCUUCAUGAUCUUGAAGUAAUAUUCUCCAUCUUUUCGCUCAACAUUACUUGCAUCUAUGGAUUUAUGGAACACUGUUCCACGAGGAGAGUAGACUAGAAAAUUAAUUAUACUCAUUCUGGUUGGUCCGCUCCUUCCAUCACACAUAAUGGUAACUCCUCUUUCGUUCCACAUGCCCUCAAAUGAAGCAAUAUAUUUCUUCAUUUCUUUGUAUUCAUUUUUCAAAUAUACUUCAGAGAUCUCAUAUGCUGAAGGUGGUGAUACAUUAGGUCCCACUUCAGCGGCCGUUCUGAGUAAUGGCUUUGUCCAUGGUGACUCAACCACACUGAAAGGUAAUCUGUUGUGGAUGACAAAAUUACCAAAGGCUUUAAGUAACUUUUCUUUCUGUGACUUAAGCCAUUUGGUUUUAAUCUUUGGUUGUUUCAGACUUCUGUUCUUUUCUAUUUCAAUUUCAGCUGCUGCUAAUCUAGAAGCAGGUGUUGAUGUUUGCUCAAUAUAUCUUGAUGCUUCUCUACCUCUUUCAUGAACGGUCGCUGAACGACUAAUUCCCGAGCGAGGAGGAGCUUGAGGGCUACUCCCACCACUUUCAUAAUGAGAAGCUCUCCUUCUAUAAGCAUCUUCGUCAAACUGCCGCAUGCUUUCGCGUCUAGCAAUUUCUAGUUCUAAUAUCUUCUUCGUCUGAAUCUGAACCCUCAACUUCUGUCAUUUUCAUGAUUUCAUCUUCCAACUCCCUUGCCCUCUUUGCUUUAUCUCUUUUUGCAGCUUCAAAACCCCUCAACAUAUUUCCCAUAUCUUUUUUUACUUGCGCAGAAACUUUUUGACAACCAGCAACUUGCCCUGGUAUAUUUGCCAAAUGCUGCUUCAAACGAGUUAUCCCCCCAGUUAUUUUUUUNNNNNNNNNNNNNNNNNNNNNNNNNNNNNNNNNNNNNNNNNNNNNNNNNNNNNNNNNNNNNNNNNNNNNNNNNNNNNNNNNNNNNNNNNNNNNNNNNNNNNNNNNNNNNNNNNNNNNNNNNNNNNNNNNNNNNNNNNNNNNNNNNNNNNNNNNNNNNNNNNNNNNNNNNNNNNNNNNNNNNNNNNNNNNNNNNNNNNNNNNNNNNNNNNNNNNNNNNNNNNNNNNNNNNNNNNNNNNNNNNNNNNNNNNNNNNNNNNNNNNNNNNNNNNNNNNNNNNNNNNNNNNNNNNNNNNNNNNNNNNNNNNNNNNNNNUAAGUACAAAUAUAUCAAAUAAACAUAAAAUUCAUAAAUUUUAAACAUUAUAUAUAGUAAUUAGUAACUUACCUCAAUGAAAGCUGGAAAUAAGUAUGGAUUAUGGAAGAAAAACACUAUGGAUUUAUGGAAGAAGAAGAGAACUCUCUUUAUGCUGCUGCUGCUGCCUGCUGGACAGCUGGAGGAAAUGGAGGACUGAAGGAGAAGUGCUACACUGCUACUGCUGAGGCUGCUGCUUGCUGGAGGCUGGAGGAAAUGGAGAAGGACUUGCUGGAGGCUGGAGGAAAUGGAGAAGGAUAAGAGACUCAAGGUGCUGGUCUGCUGGAUGAAAGAGAGGAGAGAGUAAAGUAAAGGCUAAAGAAUAAAAAGAAGAAGUAGAAAAGAUAGAAAAACAUUUUUGCAAAUUGCAUAUUUUGUUUUUCACGUGAAACAGGCUGGAGGAGCUGUUGGACAACUUCUGCAAGAUUCCUGGAGCUGCUGGCUGGACAAAAUAAUGCAGGAUUCCUGGUGAUUUGCUGUAAAGGAAAGUAACGGCCGGUAACGGCCGUUACCAUUGCGUAACGGCCAUAACGGCCGUUACAGCAACAUUUUUUUUUUGCCGUUGUUUAAAGGCCGUAACGGCCACGGCUGCCUCCGUUACCUGUAAAUAACGGCCGUUACGUUACGUAACGGCCGUUAUUUGAAACCAUGGUUCCAUGCCCUUUGAUGAAUCUACGGUAAUAACCUGUCAACCCGAGAAAUCCAUGAACACCCUUUAGGAUUUUUGGAAUUGGCCAGUUCAGCACACUAGACACCUUUGCAGGAUCCUUACAUGGCCUAAAUAUUCCACUCUUAUUCGACCGAAAGAACUCUUCUUUUAAUUGACUGUAAACUGCUGAUUGCAUAACAAUUGCAAAACUAUUUUUAAUUGUUGCAAAUGUUCCUCCCAAGUUAUGCUGUAUAUCAAAAUAUCGUGGAAGAAGACCAAUACAAAUUUCUGUAAAUAAGGCCUGAAUAGAUUGUUCAUAGUGGGUUGGAAGGUCACUGGAGCAUUGGAGAGCCCAAAUGGCAUAACCACAAACUUGUAAUGUCCUGAAUGAGUCCGAAAGGCUGUCUUUGGAAUUUCAGCUUCCUUGACCCGAACUUGAUGGUACCCAGAUUUCAGGUCUAGCUUGGAGAAAUACUUUGCCCCCUGUAAGUCAUCCUGCAAUUCGCUUAUGACUGGAAUAGGAUACUUGUGAGGAAUGGUUGCCUUGUUUAAUGCCCGAUCAUCCACGCAAAAUCUCUAGUUUUCAUCUUUUUUCUUAACCAAGAGAAUCGAACUUGAGAAGGGAUAAUUCCUAUAAUUAACAUCUUCCUAACCAACUAUUUAAUUUCAUCCUUUUGGAGGUAGACUAGUAACUUCUCCUAACACUUUAUCAAAGGAGCUGAGCAGUUGCUGUACUUGAAACUGUUGUUCCUUAUUAAUCUCAGUACCUUCUCAAGAGCUUUCUAUGGGUUGAGAAAUUUCCCAUAAAAGCAAAGUGGCAUACACAUCCUUCAUUCAAUUUGUGCAAACGGAAGCCUGUGUGAAAGCUGAGUUGCAUUCGAUCGUUACCAACCGUCUUGAGUGAGAGAAAAUCAUCUUCAUGAUUAACCAAUUAAUUCUAACUUCUUUGAGAGUCUCGAGCCAAGUAACACCCAAAAUUAAAUCCACACCUAGAGGAAAUCGAAAAUAAUCGGCUUUAAUUUCCAAAUGACCCACAUCAAUUUUGUUACUUAGGCAAACUCCUGAAGACUGAACCCGAUGCGCAUCACCCAAUUUCACGCCGAAAAUAGAGGUAUCUUCCAUAGGCAACCCUAAUUUAGAAACCAUUUUACCAAACACAAAAUUGUGACUAGCACCACUAUCUACCAUGAUACUAAUGGUAUGAUUCUCUAUUUUUCCCUGCAUCUUUGUAGUCUUUGGAGAAGAUAUUUCGCCCACAGAGUAUAACGAUAGCUCCAUCUUUGAAAAAUGGGCAUUGUCUGAAAUCACUAUCGCCUGACUAUCUGGCUCCAGAAUCGCCGCAUCGGCUUCCAUUUCUUCUUGGGGCUCAUCAUCUUCGCCGACAAUUACAGCCCGAAGAUAUUUAUUUAGGCACUUAUGUGUAGGCGAGAAGGGCUGCUUGCAUUUGUAACACAGUCCCUUAGCUCUCAAAUCAAAAAACUCUUGAUGCGUAUACUGUCUAGUAGGUCGAUUGCGGUGAUGGUUUUGUGGAAUUUUGGUAUUUGAAGAGGAAGACAAAGGUAGGGCUUUUGGGAUUAAAGAAGAUCGGUUAGGUGGUUUAGGGGCUGGAAGUGCAGGAUAAUGGGUUUUAUUUGUUGGGGAUGAUGCGUUUAAAGGGCUAGUGGGUCUAUAAGUAGUGACGGGUUCAAUUCUUAGCUCGAAACUAGAAGCCCAACGAGGUCCGCCAUCUCCAAAGCUUUGUACCCGAGGUUUUGAUGAUCGUAGAAAUUGAAUUUCCAGCUCAAUCUCUCUCGUGACAGCCAGUGUGUUGAAGAUCACCUGCUUCAUGAGAGCGAAUCCUUGCCUUGAUUUCAUCCGGUAAUCUGAUAAAAAAAUAAUCUAAACAUUGUUGGUCAUUUAACCCUUCCACCUGAGAUGCUAAUGCUACAAAAGCAUCAACUGAAUUCCUUCAAUUGGCUAGAAUUCCUUCCUAUAUUCAUCCACAGAGCAAUUCUGCCGAAGAGUUGCAAGCCGCUCAUAGAGAUUACUCCUCAUGUCCCCACCAUAGCGUCGCAACAGCUCCUGGGUUAGCUGAGCCCAAGAAGUAUUAGGACUACGUUGCUUAAUCCACCUCAACCAAUGAAGAGCUGGUCCUUCCAUACACACCAGGGCUAACUGUACCUUCAUGUCUUCCCUAGUGUUGUUUAAUACAAAAUACGGAUCUGCCCUAGCUAACCAGCCUAUAGGGCCUACUCCAUCAAAAUUUGGCAUUUCCACCUUUUUGUUGGCCAAGGAAUUAUCUUCUAGUAUUACUGGUUGUUGAAUAAAUAAAGUAUUAGAGUGGGUACCUUUUGUCGGUGAUCGAGUGGAAGCUUCAGCCUCAUCCAUAUGUGCCUUCCCUCUCACCAAGGAUGUAAGUAACGUCUGCAACCUGGUUAACCUUGUUCCUGCUCCAUUUUAAGAGCAGUGAUCCUUUGCUCUUGGUCAAGCUUCAUAGAAGCAAUAACUUCUUUUAGAUUUCCCAUGCUCUUCUCUACCUGUUACAUGUUUCUAUUCUCUCCAUUUGAGUUUUGGUCAUGGGGUUUUCGGAUCCAGCAGAUCACACCAAAUUGAUAGAAUUAAGAUCAAUUAUCAAUAAUGAGAUGGGAAGAUAAACUAAAUUUGGAUUUUAAUGGCAAUUUCCUUCUGAAAAAGGCUCCACAGCACAAGAAAACAUAAAUACACUAGCCCAGCAAUGGCUUUCUAAAAGAGAAAAUCACAACUUACCCUCCUCCUUUGCCACUACUAAUUAUUUAUAAAACAAUAAAGAUUCUUUCUCUCUCUAGGUACUAUCUGAGAAACCACUUAUUUUGUCCAUGUCCAGCCUGGCAAGUCUGGAAUCUUCAAUUGAGAAUCAUGCUACCUUUUCCUUUAACAUUUCUUCUGUAGUAAACUCUCAAGGGUUUCAGCCCAUGGUUGAUGCUUCCUAGAUCACUAGAGGGGCUGCUGCUAUCAGUUGUAGCCAAGAAUCCUGAUUGUCCUAAAACUAUUAAAUUUUUUAGAUUAAAAAUAUGCAAUAGGACCCCACAAACACCACCACAGCUAAAUCACUAAUCCCAAACUAGUUUGGGUUGGCUCGAUUCUUCUCGAUAGAAGAACCCGGGCUUUGCACUUUUCAUUCUUGCGCACUUUCUUAAAAAAUUUAAAAAUUUUAAUUUUAAGAAGGCAAAAGGCCUACUUUGGCUCUUGAUUAUAUAAUCAUAUGAAUCCUUGAACUUUUUUUAAGUCCAAGCAAAUCUUUCAACUUUUUAUAUAGAUUAAAUAAUUCUUUUAGAUUUUCAAAAUUAAUCAAAUAUACCCUUAAAGGAUAUAGAAGCUCUGUGAAUUCUAACAAAUAGAUUAUAUGACCGUUCAAAUUUUGAAAAAUAGAUCAAUAAGCCUUACUUUCAAUUCAUAUCUUUUCAUUAUGUUCUACUUUAUCUCUGUUAUUUUUGAGCUUUCGAUGCCUAUUCACCUCACAUAUAAUAAUUAGAAUUGUUUCACAUUAGAUCAUAGGUAAAUUGAUAAAAGUGAGUAUGACGAAGAAAAUGAACUCAGAUUAGCCUUUUGAACAAUUCAGCAAAAUAAUUUAUCAAUUUGCUCUAGAAUGGAAUAAAUAUCUAUUAUGAUGUUGCUUGUUAUGCAUGAUAGCCGAUGGGGUCCUUGUCUAAACCUUUUCUAUGCAAGGACUUGUUUGAAUUAGAAGCAAGUUAUAAUCCAGUUUCUUUUGACAUAAUUUUAAAAGUUAAAGGACUUAUUUGUCCUAUUUUAAAAUUUGAAGGGCAUAUAUUUCUCUGAGGGUUUAUUUGAUUUAUUUUAAAAAUUUGAAAUACUUAUUAAUUUGUUUAAAUUGUCGGAGGGCUUAUUUGGAUGUAAAAAAUAUAUAUAUAUCUUAUAUGACUAUUUGACCAUACUUUAAAAGUAAAAACAAGCCUUUUGCCUUCUAAGAACUUGCCAAAAAGAAAAAGGUUCUUUCCAUCAAUGACCCAAACUCAGGUUGAACUUGAAAUUUUAGAAUGACUGGAAUCAAAUGAUUCAACCCAAAUCUUUCUAAUUUAAUUACUAUUUUGACAGGUCUAUACGUUCUUAUAUAUAUAUAUAUAUAACCCUAAAUCAAGUAGAGACUGUUAUGCCUUUUCAGUAUCAGUUUGAUGGAUUAUCACUUUAUGUUUCUGUUUGCACCAUAAAAUCAAUUUUAGCGCAGCAACAGAUUCUGAAUCUUUGGGUUGGAAUUUUUGAAUCUUCUCACAUGGAUUAUAAAGCAUGCAGAUUGUGGUAGUGUGAUGGAUACUGACGGGUGGAGGGAAUGCAUUUGGGCUGUUAUUGAGU
rnacentral:lncRNA from 1 species